rnacentral:tRNA from 1 species
AGGGAUAUUGUAUCGGUAUACAAAUGGGAUUGCAAAUCUUAUUAUAUUAGUUCGACUCUAAUAUAUCCUUA